rnacentral:lncRNA from 10 species
GAGGCCACGCCCACCCGGAACUCGCGCUGGCCCGCAAGCGCCGCGCGCAGCCCUGGUUCCCGCCCGUGCCUCUUCCUCCACACUUUCCCGCAAGCUGAGGGAGCCGGCUCCCGCCUUGGCCAGCCCGGAAAGGGGCUCCCACGGUGCAGCGGUGGGCUGAAGGGCUCCUCAAGCACGGCCAGAGUGGGCGCCAAGGCCGAGGAGGCCCCGAGAGCGAGCGAGGGCUGCCAGUAUGCUGUCACCUCUCAUUAUUAUUUGCCGAUGGGAGUGGAGAAGGAGACUUGGUGAUAACAGGACUGAAAACCUUGUGUAGAUGGGACACUGAUGAUGAGCAAGCAA